rnacentral:rRNA from 1 species
GAUGAACGCUAGCGGCAGGCCUAAUACAUGCAAGUCGGACGGGAUUCAGGAGCUUGCUUCUGAUGAGAGUGGCGCACGGGUGCGUAACACGUAUGUAACCUACCUUUAUCAGGGGGAUAGCCUCUCGAAAGAGAGAUUAAGCCCGCAUAAAAUCACAGCACAGCAUUGUGUAAUGAUCAAAUAUUUAUAGGAUAAAGAUGGGCGUGCGGAACAUUAGCUAGAUGGCGGGGUAACGGCCCACCAUGGCGACGAUGUUUAGGGGAUCUGAGAGGAUGGCCCCCCACACUGGUACUGAGACACGGACCAGACUCCUACGGGAGGCAGCAGUAAGGAAUAUUGGUCAAUGGGCGGAAGCCUGAACCAGCCAUGCCGCGUGCAGGAAGACGGCCCUACGGGUUGUAAACUGCUUUUAUACGGGAAUAAACCCAGAUACGUGUAUCUGGCUGAAUGUACUGUAAGAAUAAGGAUCGGCUAACUCCGUG